rnacentral:rRNA from 1 species
AUUGAACGCUGGCGGCAGGCCUAACACAUGCAAGUCGAGCGAGCUGCGUACUUGUUAGUAAUUUCUUGGAAUCUUCCUGCUGGAGGGGGAUACCUACUGGAAACGGUAGCUAAUACCGCCUACCCUCUUAUGUUCCCCUUUGGGUUUAGCUAGUAGGUGGGGUAAUGGCUCACCUAGGCGACGAUCCCUAGCUGGUCUGGGAGGAUGACCAGCAACACUGGAACUGAGACACGGUCCAGACUCCUACGGGAGGCAGCAGUGGGGAAUAUUGCACAAUGGGCGCAAGCCUGAUGCAGCCAUGCCGCGUGUGUGAAGAAGGCCUUCGGGUUGUAAAGCACUUUCAGCGAGGAGGCGUUACUCGAAGAAGAAGCACCGGCUAACUCCGUGCCAGCAGCCGCGGUAAUAG